CUCCUUUUUCUCUAUUUUCUCAAAAACUUGCAUAUUUAUAAGUUGAAGUGGCAUAAAAGCAUCAUUGCUAUUUUUCAAGUUUACACAGGAGCGUCACCUUUUUUUUAUGAAACAUGAAAAUAUCUGAAACAGCAGCAUCUGUGGAAAAGCGCAUGCACCUGGCAUGCACCUGGCAUGCAGAUGUCACUCACAUGGCACACACAUGUCACCCACAUGGCACACACAGCAUGUACAUGGCAUGCACAUGUCACUCACAUGGCA
rnacentral:lncRNA from 10 species